rnacentral:rRNA from 1 species
CGAACCCAUUCCGAACUCGGAAGUUAAGCGCCUCAUCGCCCAUGAUACUGCGUAUUUUUGCGUGGGAAAGUAGGUCGACGCCAAGG